rnacentral:rRNA from 1 species
GACGAACGCUGGCGGCGUGCUUAACACAUGCAAGUCGAACGAGUGGCGAACGGGUGAGUAACACGUGGGUGAUCUGCCUUGCACUUCGGGAUAAGCUUGGGAAACUGGGUCUAAUACCCGAUAGUGCAAGAUGAGCUCGCGGCCUAUCAGCUUGUUGGUGGGGUAAUUGCUACCAAGGCGCGACGGGUAGCCGGCCUGAGAGUGUGUACGGCCAAAUUGAGACUGAGGUACGGACAAGAGUCAUACGGGGGGCAGGAGAGAGGAAUAUUGCGCAAUGGGCGGAAGCCUGAGGCAGCGCGGCAGGGUGGGGGUGGACGGCGUUCGGGUUGUAAACUCCUUGCGACAGGGACGCGGUACCUGUAGAAGAAGCACCGGCUAACUACGGGCCAGCAGCCGCGGUAAUUC